GACGAACGCUGGCGGCGUGCUUAACACAUGCAAGUCGAACGGUAAGGCCCUUCGGGGUACACGAGUGGCGAACGGGUGAGUAACACGUGGGUGAUCUGCCCUGCACUUCGGGAUAAGCCUGGGAAACUGGGUCUAAUACCGGAUAGGACCACUGCCUGUAUGAGUGGUGGUGGAAAGAUUUUGCGGUGUGGGAUGGGCCCGCGGCCUAUCAGCUUGUUGGUGGGGUGAUGGCCUACCAAGGCGACGACGGGUAGCCGGCCUGAGAGGGUGACCGGCCAAACUGGGACUGAGAUACGGCCCAGACUCCUACGGGAGGCAGCAGUGGGGAAUAUUGCACAAUGGGCGCAAGCCUGAUGCAGCGACGCCGCGUGAGGGAUGACGGCCUUCGGGUUGUAAACCUCUUUCAGCACCGACGAAGCGCAAGUGACGGUAGGUGCAGAAGAAGGACCGGCCAACUACGUGCCAGCCGCCGCAGUAA
rnacentral:rRNA from 1 species